CCGCCUCUGUCCUCGCCCAGAUCCCCAGCUUAGGGGCGACCCCAGCCAGCCGCGGCCUGGCUCGGCCCGAGCACGGCGCUGGAGCCGUUGGCGAGGGCUGCGUGGGGCUUUAGAGGAGUCUCUGGGCUGGCCGGUUGGGGACUACAAGUCCCAGGGUGCUUCGGGCCCGCGAACCCACGUCGGGGACCUCUUUUUUAGCCCCGCAUGAUCGGGACUUGCGUGAAACGAGUGCAGGUCGGCCGUGGUUACGCGGUCGGCAGCUAGACUUGGAAGCUGGGGCUGCUCUGAGAUUUGCGGGCUGUAAAGACGUGUGCUUCUUGGAACCGGCACAGGCACAUUGGGGACCUCAUAUUGUGCCCGCCUAGGGACUCACUAUGUUCACUCGCUGACCCUCACCGCAGCGUGCAGAGAAGCAGACGCCUUCCCUAGUACUUUUAAUUCAUUCACUCAUUCGCUCAGUCAUUAAAUAAACGCGUCUUUAGUGCCUACUGAAUGUACCAGGCCCUGGUGGUUGCUGGGGGUUGCAGCCUCUCAGCCAGGAGAACGGGAAAGGUAGAUGGAGACACUGUAUCGGAGGUGGGAAGACCCAGGCUCGGACUCUGGUGACAUAAGAAAGGCUUUUCUAGUUGGCUACCUAACUCUGGGUCUCGUUUUCUUGAAAUUUGGGGCGAGGGAGUUGCUGUGAGUCCUGGAGCCACCUAAAGUGCUCCUUGUAGCCCUACUUCCCACACUUCUUUUCUCUGUCUCUCGGAGCUUUAGAUACUUUCCGUGGGUCCCAAGCCUCGAUGGUAUCUCCUGGGUUGUUAUUGAGUAGGGCCAGCUUCCGAGGUGGUGUUUGACCCUGACUGAGAUACUGCUUUCUGUGCACUUGGCAGUUCACUUAUUCAUUUUGGCCUGUCCGACUCUAUCUUCUGCUCUUUUCCUGCUUCCUGCAGCUUUUCUCUGUCCUGUUAGGGACGCAGACACCUUUUAGGUGUUCUACCAAAUGCCCUAUGAAUCCCGCUUGUACCCAAGGUAGAAGGAAAUUAGCAUUUAACAGUA
rnacentral:lncRNA from 10 species